rnacentral:rRNA from 1 species
CCUACGGGGUGCAGCAGUGAGGAAUAUUGGUCAAUGGGCGGGAGCCUGAACCAGCCAAGCCGCGUGAGGGAAGAAGGUACAGCGUAUCGUAAACCUCUUUUGUCAGGGAACAAAGGCGGGGACUAGUCCCCGGAUGAGGGUACCUGAAGAAAAAGCAUCGGCUAACUCCGUGCCAGCAGCCGCGGUACUACUGAGGAUGCGAGCGUUAUCCGGUUUUCUUGGGUUUAAAGGGUGCCCCGGGGGCCUGUUAAGUCAGCGGAAAAGCCCUGUGCUAAACCCCGGCGAGCCGUUGAAACUGGCGGGCUGGAGUUGGAGAGAAGUACGCGGAAUGCGCGGUGUAGCGGUGAAAUGCUUAGAUAUCGCGCAGAACCCCGAUUGCGAAGGCAGCGUACCGGCUCCACACUGACGCUGAGGCACGAAAGCGUGGGUAUCGAACAGGAUUAGAUACCCUAGUAGUC